GGCAGGUUGUAUGGAGGGCUCAACCAGGCAAGGUCAGAUGCUUCCUCUGGACUUACAAUGAAAACUUUCUAUCCUGGAAGGAAACUUCUGAAGACAGGAUGUUUACAGGGAGGUGAAAUACUACAGGGAUUAUAGGGAUACAGGAAGCAAGCAACUCAAAAUAGCCUCAGGAAGUCCCUGAAACUGAUGGAGAUUCAGCAGGCCCCUCCCUCCCCAGUAGUAAGUAAAGGUAAUGACUGAUGGGAGUCACUCUCAGACAAGCCAAUCUGCAAAGAGCCACCAAGCAGCUUGGGAGAAGCAGAGACCAGCUGAGCUGCCUGGAAGAGACUCAGACCAACCGAGUCAUCUGGAAAGGACACUCUCCAGCCUUCGGAGCUGUGCAGUGUGCUCUAGAUCUCCAGCUUUUGUGAGAUGCCACCUAUGCUAGGGGUGGGCUUUCAUGUCAUAGCUGUCGUUGGGUCAUUUCCACUCCAGUACCCUUGGAACCCAAGAAAAGGAGUGAGAUUCCCUAGAGCUGGUGUUACAAGCACUCUGAGUCACCUGGCAUCAAUACUGGGAACAGAGCUAGGGUUCCCUAGAAGAGCCACAAAUACUUCUAACCACGGAGCCAUCUCUCCAGUCACCUGACAGAAGUCAGCACAUGCGGGAAGCUCUGUCUUUAUGUGUUCUCUAUGACUUGGAGAAGAUUCCAGUGACAGGGGAAAAGCGCAGUGACAGAAGCAUGGCAGAGCAGCUGUGACUACCCAAGGAACCCCUCGAGAUUGGCCCUGCUGAGUUCCCCCACAGAAGGAGAGUCUGAGGGGGCACCUGAGUCUCUGACUUCAGAGUCCAGUCCUCUCUCCCUCUCCCACUCCCUUUCAGCUGCUUGUAAUCUGCACUAACUGCCCAUGGUCUGGUUGUAGAGAAGAAAGGUUAACAAGAUGUGACUCUAUUCAUACAGCUAGGGGGAAAUGGUCACCCAUGCUUAGGGGAGGCUGUCCAGUGACUGUGGGACUUACAGGUGACUGGAACUGGCUGUGGCUAGAAGCCCCAGGGCAGCCUGUCUACAAGAUGGAGUGUCAGAUGAUGGCAACACAUACCUACAGACCAAUGCACAAAGACAUUGGUAGUGUUAUUCUCAAACCGAGGCCUAAAGUCUGAGAAUUUGGGGGACUGUGCUGAAAGUUUUAGGAUCCAAAGUCACAGAGCCUGGAAUCUGCUGUAUGAGGCAGCAGAUUCAGACACUGACAGCUGUGAGGGAGAGGCCAGCUCUCCUCUCUCCUGGUGGAGGCAGCCCCAGCAGAGUGAGAGUGUGUGCCCACAGUCCACCCACGUGUACACUCAGUCCUCUGGCAACAGCUUUGUCCCAAAUGCUCCUUAAUCCACUGAAAUGAGUCCCCCAGCAGACAGUGGAUCAUGCUGACCCCAAUUCUAAAGGCAUGGUGUGUCUAGCUUGCAGAAGGCCUUAGAGUGUGUUUUACCCUCGGAACAAGCAACUGCUUCUCUCAGCAGCCGGUUCUGGCUCCCAAGAGUGUCUGUCACGAGUCUUCCCAUUGCUGAGCAGACCUCCAGCAGUCAGUAUUGAUGAGAAUCAGGUCCCUAGUGGGUUUUGUUUUUGUUUUUGUUUUUGUUUUUUUUGGGGGGGUAGCUGUUUGGUGUCACUGUGGAUACAACAUGCCUCCAAACUGGCAUUCCAUUUAGCCAUGGGACGAGCUACCUGGUUCUCUGUCACUUGGGCCGCAGGGUGCUUCAUAAAGUAUCACUUGGACCUGCCCUGCUUUGAGCCUGGAUGGAAAGCUUAGAUACAGCAUAGAGUUGCGGUGAGGAGGUGGGGGAUAGGCAGUUUGCUUCUGGGUGGACUAAGGGUGGCAGCCGCCAUUGAGGGAUGGAGCCCAAGCCCAGAGGUUCAAGGAGAGAAGAGGUGAAUGCAGAGUUUGAAGAUUCCUUGU